rnacentral:rRNA from 1 species
GAUGAACGCUGGCGGCGUGCCUAAUACAUGCAAGUCGAGCGAACAGACGAGGAGCUUGCUCCUUCGACGUUAGCGGCGGACGGGUGAGUAACACGUAGGUAACCUACCUAUAAGACUGGGAUAACUUCGGGAAACCGGAGCUAAUACCGGAUAAUAUUUCGAACCGCAUGGUUCGAUAGUGAAAGAUGGCUUUGCUAUCACUUAUAGAUGGACCUGCGCCGUAUUAGCUAGUUGGUAAGGUAACGGCUUACCAAGGCAACGAUACGUAGCCGACCUGAGAGGGUGAUCGGCCACACUGGAACUGAGACACGGUCCAGACUCCUACGGGAGGCAGCAGUAGGGAAUCUUCCGCAAUGGGCGAAAGCCUGACGGAGCAACGCCGCGUGAGUGAUGAAGGUCUUCGGAUCGUAAAACUCUGUUAUUAGGGAAGAACAAAAGUGUAAGUAACUGUGCACGUCUUGACGGUACCUAAUCAGAAAGCCACAGCUAACUACGUG